rnacentral:lncRNA from 1 species
CAGAGACGAAUGUGACGCGCGCUCACCUUUUCUCUUCGAAAACGUCCCUCAACUGGAACACGAAGGGACACAAAGACAACUGUGGCUCUAAAAAGCAAGAACAAGCCUGUGAUGCAUGGACCUCCUGAAGCCCAACUAUGGAGACCUCAAGCCCCUGAAGACCAUGAGAAAACACCAUUGUUAAAUACGUGCCCCUGAAAUCAGUGGACCCUGCACCUGCAA